rnacentral:rRNA from 1 species
UACGGAGGGGGCUAGCGUUGUUCGGAAUUACUGGGCGUAAAGCGCACGCAGGCGGUGCGGUCAGUUGGAUGUGAAAUCCCAGGGCUCAACCCUGGAAUUGCAUUCAAUACUGCCGCGCUGGAGGACGGAAGAGGAGAGUGGAAUUCCCAGUGUAGAGGUGAAAUUCGUAGAUAUUGGGAAGAACACCAGUGGCGAAGGCGGCUCUCUGGUCCGUUACUGACGCUCAUGUGCGAAAGCGUGGGGAGCAAACAGG